rnacentral:rRNA from 1 species
GACAGAGGUCCCGAGCGUUGUUCGGAUUCAUUGGGCGUAAAGGGUGUGUAGGCGGUCGGGUAAGUCAGGUGUGAAAUCUCACAGCUUAACUGUGAAACUGCGCUUGAUACUGCUCGGCUAGAGGAUCGGAGGGGGUAACGGAAUUUAUGGUGUAGCAGUGAAAUGCGUAGAGAUCCGGAGGAACACCGACGGCGUAGGCAGCGCCCUGGCUGUGAAUAAAGCUGACACUGAGGCACGAAAGCUGGGGGAGCAAACAGG